UACGUAGGGUGCAAGCGUUGUCCGGAAUUAUUGGGCGUAAAGAGCUCGUAGGCGGGUUUGUCGCGUCUGCUGUGAAAACCCGAGGCUCAACCUCGGGCCGCAGUGGGUACGGGCAGACUAGAGUGCGGUAGGGGGAGAUUGGAAUUCCUGGUGUAGCGGUGGAAUGCGCAGAUAUCAGGAGGAACACCGGUGGCGAAGGCGGGUCUCUGGGCUGUAACUGACGCUGAGGAGCGAAAGCGUGGGUAGCGAACAGG
rnacentral:rRNA from 1 species